rnacentral:rRNA from 1 species
CCUACGGGAGGCAGCAGUGAGGAAUAUUGGUCAAUGGGCGCGAGCCUGAACCAGCCAAGUAGCGUGAAGGAUGACUGCCCUACGGGUUGUAAACUUCUUUUAUAAGGGAAUAAGGUGAGGCACGUGUGCCUUUUUGUAUGUCCUUUAUGAAUAAGGAUCGGCUAACUCCGUGCCAGCAGCCGCGGUCAUACGGAGGAUCCGAGCGUUAUCCGGAUUUAGUGGGUUUAAAGGGAGCGUAGAUGGUUUGGUAAGUCAGUUGUGAAAGUUUGCGGCUCAACCGGAAAAUUGCAAUUGAUACUGGCAGUCUUGAGUACAGGUGAGGUAGGCGGAAUUCGUGGUGUAGCGGUGAAAUGCGUAGAUAUCACGAAGAACUCCGAUUGCGAAGGCAGCUUACUAAACUGCCACUGACAUUGAUGCUCGAAAGCGUGGGUAUCAAACAGGAUUAGAUACCCGUGUAGUC